CGAAGGGGGCUAGCGUUGCUCGGAUUUACUGGGCGUAAAGGGCGCGUAGGCGGAUCAGCAAGUUGGGGGUGAAAGCCCGGGGCUCAACCUCGGAACUGCCCUCAAAACUGUUGAUCUUGAGUUUGGGAGAGGUGUGUGGAACUCCGAGUGUAGAGGUGAAAUUCGUAGAUAUUCGGAAGAACACCAGUGGCGAAGGCGACACACUGGCCCAAUACUGACGCUGAGGCGCGAAAGCGUGGGGAGCAAACAGGAUU
rnacentral:rRNA from 1 species